GAUUAGUCUUGUUGAAUCGCGCAACAGCAAAGAGUUGGAUACAUUAGUCCACUAAAUAUUACCAGAUCAUUUUUUAUCAGCCAAUCUCUUCUGCCACCACCACCUUCAU